rnacentral:rRNA from 1 species
AUGCCAACGACCUCCAUGCCGGCAAUGCCGGACGGCCCCGCCUCUGGGUGGAUGGCCUCCUGUCGCAUCUCCGGCUCCUCGUCGGACACUAUCUCGGCGAAGAUUUCACCGAACUCCGUGCCCCGCUGGCAGAGGAAGCGGCGGUUGGCCUCCACCUCGGCCUUCGACUGGAUGGAGUCAAGGAUGGCCUACUGCUCCGCAGCCUCCUCCGCAUGGGCCACCUCGUACUCCGCCAUGGCUACGCUCGCAGUUGGAGGCGCCGGAUCCGCUUCGCCUGCGUCGUCGUCGUCCUCCUCCUCCUCCUCCGGCUCCGCAUCCUCCAUGGCGGCGUCCUGCUUUGCCUCGACCUCUGCCUUCGCCUCCUCCUCGCCCGACUCCGGAGGCAGGCCGAUUGUGAUCCGAGCUUCGUGCCACGCCUGA